ensembl:snoRNA SNORA70 Small nucleolar RNA SNORA70
CUGCAGCCAGUUAAGCGGACCAUGCUUUUUUCCUCAUGGGGGUCCUGGUGUCUAAGGGCUGCAAAUAGUAGCCUAUUUGGUAAUGUAUGUAAACUGUUGCUCAUAGGGGUUGCCCAAAGUGACAUGGAGACAGCC